GACGAACGCUGGCGGCGUGCUUAACACAUGCAAGUCGAACGCUGAAGCUCAGCUUUUGUUGGGUGGAUGAGUGGCGAACGGGUGAGUAACACGUGAGUAACCUGUCCCCUUCUUUGGGAUAACGCCCGGAAACGGGUGCUAAUACUGGAUAUUCACUGGUCUUCGCAUGGGGGUUGGUGGAAAGGGUUUUUCUGGUGGGGGAUGGGCUCGCGGCCUAUCAGCUUGUUGGUGGGGUGAUGGCCUACCAAGGCUUUGACGGGUAGCCGGCCUGAGAGGGUGACCGGUCACAUUGGGACUGAGAUACGGCCCAGACUCCUACGGGAGGCAGCAGUGGGGAAUAUUGCACAAUGGGCGCAAGCCUGAUGCAGCGACGCCGCGUGAGGGAUGGAGGCCUUCGGGUUGUGAACCUCUUUCGCUCAUGGUCAAGCCGCAACAAUGGUUGUGGUGAGGGUAGUGGGUAAAGAAGCGCCGGCUAACUACGUG
rnacentral:rRNA from 1 species